AUCACACGGCCACCACUACCGGCCACUAACUUCAGGCCGGCUAACCAGCUAACUACCAAUGCAUGCACCCGCUAGCCAACUACAUGCACGCAACAACCCAGACAUGCACUACUAGCUAUGGCCUAAACUCACUCCUUGACCCAAGUGACUCGGCAAGCACCUGACUAGCUGGCUACUGCACACAUGUGCCACACACGCACACACGCUACACACAUACGCCACGUUGCUGCGUCCCGCACGUCCCGCGCACCACCGACGCGCCCGACGAACCCGACGAGCCCGACGGUACCAGUGUGUCUCAUCCAUCCCGCGCGCAUCCGACGCGUCCGACGAGCCCAACCACACACGUCGUGGCUUAUUCCAACACACACCCCCUAAGCCACGACCUAGAGGAGUCCGUCGUCGUUGACGUUAUAGCCGCCACCGCCCUAAUGUCGCUGCCAAGUCUGCCACCGUGCCGCCGUGCCCUUCGCGCGUAGUCCCCACGUCCCCGCACUCCCGGCCCACGCUCCCGUCGCGCACAUACGCGAUCUGCGCAACCAGGUCUAGCGCCUCAACGCGGUCCACUCCCGCGGUCCCGACGCGCCCGACGCGUCCGGUGCGCACCCAUAACAAGUACCGGUCGCGCCCGGCUCGCCGCCACGCUUAUUGCCCUGCACCGCUGCGCCGUCAACCGCAGCGCAGCGCCUCCACGGUCGUCGCGCCGAGCCGCCGCGGCCUCUCCGACACCACGCAGGUCCUCCGCGACCUCCUCGUCUCCGCGACCGCCGCUGCUCGUUGCGCGCACGGCAUCAUGCCACACCGCCGUGGACUCGCCGCGCGCCCGGCACCACGCCACACCGCCGUGGACUCGCCGCGCGUUGCCGAUGCCACGCGCUCGCCGCACGCCGUUGCCAAGACCUUCAUGUCCGCCGCGCACCGCGGGCACCGCGGACGCCGCCGUGCGCCACGGCCGCCCCUCGAAUCUGGCUCUGUAUACCAAUUGUUGGAACCGCAGCCCUCGCUCUCUCACUCAAGACUAGAGGUAGAAGGAGACGGAUAUACUGGAGUUUCACCCGGCUGCACACACAGCCCCGUUUUUCUAUUCCAGAGUACCAAGACUCUCGUACUUCAUCGCCUGACCUUUAUACUCGAGGUGACGCAGCGGCCAAGCAUGCAUGACUGUCAUGCACGCAUCACACGGCCACCACUACCGGCCACUAACUUCAGGCCGGCUAACCAGCUAACUACCAAUGCAUGCACCCGCUAGCCAACUACAUGCACGCAACAACCCAGACAUGCACUACUAGCUAUGGCCUAAACUCACUCCUUGACCCAAGUGACUCGGCAAGCACCUGACUAGCUGGCUACUGCACACAUGUGCCACACACGCACACACGCUACACACAUACGCCACGUUGCUGCGUCCCGCACGUCCCGCGC
rnacentral:lncRNA from 1 species